GAUGAACGCUGGCGGCGUGCCUAAUACAUGCAAGUCGAGCGAACGGACGAGAAGCUUGCUUCUCUGAUGUUAGCGGCGGACGGGUGAGUAACACGUGGAUAACCUACCUAUAAGACUGGGAUAACUUCGGGAAACCGGAGCUAAUACCGGAUAAUAUUUUGAACCGCAUGGUUCAAAAGUGAAAGACGGUCUUGCUGUCACUUAUAGAUGGAUCCGCGCUGCAUUAGCUAGUUGGUAAGGUAACGGCUUACCAAGGCAACGAUGCAUAGCCGACCUGAGAGGGUGAUCGGCCAGACUGGCACUGAGACACGGUCCCGACUCCUACGGGAGGCAGCAGUAGGGAAUCUUCCGCAAUGGGCGAAAGCCUGACGGAGCAACGCCGCGUGAGUGAUGAAGGUCUUCGGAUCGUAAAACUCUGUUAUUAGGGAAGAACAUAUGUGUAAGUAACUGUGCACAUCUUGACGGUACCUAAUCAGAAAGCCACGGCUAACUACGUG
rnacentral:rRNA from 1 species